UACGAAGGACCCGAGCGUUAUCCGGAUUUAUUGGGUUUAAAGGGUGCGUAGGCGGAUUAAUAAGUCAGUGGUGAAAGCCCGUCGCUUAACGGCGGAACUGCCAUUGAUACUGUUAGUCUUGAGUAUGGUUGAGGUGGGCGGAAUGUGUCAUGUAGCGGUGAAAUGCUUAGAUAUGACCCAGAACACCAAUUGCGAAGGCAGCUCGCUAAGCCAUAACUGACGCUGAUGCACGAAAGCGUGGGGAGCAGACAGG
rnacentral:rRNA from 1 species